CCUACGGGAGGCAGCAGUGGGGAAUAUUGGACAAUGGGCGCAAGCCUGAUCCAGCAAUGCCGCGUGAGUGAUGAAGGCCUUAGGGUCGUAAAGCUCUUUUACCAGGGAUGAUAAUGACAGUACCUGGAGAAUAAGCUCCGGCUAACUCCGUGCCAGCAGCCGCGGUAAUACGGAGGGAGCUAGCGUUGUUCGGAAUUACUGGGCGUAAAGCGUACGUAGGCGGUUAUUCAAGUCAGAGGUGAAAGCCCGGGGCUCAACCCCGGAACGGCCUUUGAAACUAGGUAGCUAGAAUCUUGGAGAGGUCAGUGGAAUUCCGAGUGUAGAGGUGAAAUUCGUAGAUAUUCGGAAGAACACCAGUGGCGAAGGCGACUGACUGGACAAGUAUUGACGCUGAGGUACGAAAGCGUGGGGAGCAAACAGGAUUAGAUACCCUGGUAGUCCACGCCGUAAACGAUGAUAACUAGCUGUUCGGGCACUUGGUGCUUGAGUGGCGCAGCUACGCAUUAAGUUAUCCGUCCGUCGGGGUAGGUACGGGUCGGCGAAGAAGUUAAAACGUUUAAAAGGUAAAGUUAGACGGUCGUGUAGAGUUGUCCGAACGGACGACGACGAGGGGAGGUAGG
rnacentral:rRNA from 1 species